GCCUAGUUGGCUCAGUCGGUUGAGCGUCUGACUUCGGCUCAGGUCACGAUCUCACAGUCCGUGGGUUCGAGCCCCGCAUCAGGCU
rnacentral:tRNA from 1 species